GGGUACAUAACAUUAUUCUUUUGGUAUUAUAAAAAGUCAAGGUUUUUUUGAUAUGAGCGUUUAAAGUUAAAAUAUUGAUCAAAAUCAUAAAAAUCACGACAUUUGGUGUAUGAGUCGUAUGUAGAUACUGUUUUCCGAUUUACGCUACAGCAAUUAUUUGGCCCGGCAAAAUUACUAAAAAUCGUACAAGGUUUCAUCAUAACCGGCUAUACCAUUGGUAAAAAAUAAGUUGAGCGUAAUGUUGUCGUAAUUAUCCCUGACUAUUGUACUUUAUUAUGUCUGUGGCGUUGUGUAUGUCUAUUUCUUGGCACGUUUGAACACGUUAAACAGCUCUGAACGAAAAGAGUUCAAAAUCGAAAAAUACGAUUUUUUUUAUAUGGGGAUUAAAGGACACAGCAAUUUUAGUUAAAUUUCAAUAUGAACUUCUCCAUGUUGUUGCUGAAAGAAAGUGUUUUGUUAACUUUUGAACUUAGACCCCUGCAGACCUUCCAAAUGAAGCCAGGGAUACAAUUUUGUAUAUACAUGGUAUACAAGUGUAAAGGAUGUGCCUUUGGAUGGUUUUACAUUUCAAUCCCCUCUCCAAUCAUCGUUAUGCUUAGAUUUAAUGUUUUACAGGAAAUACCGG